UACGUAGGGAGCAAGCGUUGUUCGGAUUUACUGGGCGUAAAGGGCGCGUAGGCGGCAAAUUAAGUCAGCUGUGAAAUCUCCGAGCUUAACUCGGAACGGUCAGCUGAUACUGAUCUGCUAGAGUGCGGAAGGGGCAAUCGGAAUUCUUGGUGUAGCGGUGAAAUGCGUAGAUAUCAAGAGGAACACCUGAGGUGAAGACGGGUUGCUGGGCCGACACUGACGCUGAGUGCGCGAAGGCCAGGGGAGCAAACGGG
rnacentral:rRNA from 1 species